rnacentral:rRNA from 1 species
GAUCAUGGCUCAGGACGAACGCUGGCGGCGUGCCUAAUACAUGCAAGUAGAACGCUGAAGGAGGAGCUUGCUUCUCCGGAUGAGUUGCGAACGGGUGAGUAACGCGUAGGUAACCUGCCUGGUAGCGGGGGAUAACUAUUGGAAACGAUAGCUAAUACCGCAUAACAGUAGAUAUUGCAUGAUAUUUACUUGAAAGGUGCAAUUGCAUCACUACCAGAUGGACCUGCGUUG